rnacentral:rRNA from 1 species
UAGGGAAUCUUCCGCAAUGGGCGAAAGCCUGACGGAGCAACGCCGCGUGAGUGAAGAAGGUCUUCGGAUCGUAAAACUCUGUUAUUAGGGAAGAACAAAUGUGUAAGUAACUAUGCACGUCUUGACGGUACCUAAUCAGAAAGCCACGGCUAACUACGUGCCAGCAGCCGCGGUAAUACGUAGGAGGCAAGCGUUAUCCGGAAUUAUUGGGCGUAAAGCGCGCGUAGGCGGUUUUUUAAGUCUGAUGUGAAAGCCCACGGCUCAACCGUGGAGGGUCAUUGGAAACUGGAAAACUUGAGUGCAGAAGAGGAAAGUGGAAUUCCAUGUGUAGCGGUGAAAUGCGCAGAGAUAUGGAGGAACACCAGUGGCGAAGGCGACUUUCUGGUCUGUAACUGACGCUGAUGUGCGAAAGCGUGGGGAUCAAACA